UACUGAUAAACUGGGAAAAUUAUGGAAC
rnacentral:piRNA from 1 species